GGAAGGGGGCCGGACUGCUCGGGGUUAGGCUGGGCAUCGGUCAGCGAGUGGUGAAGCUGGAGUGGUGGAUCACAACAUUAGACAAAUCAACCAGAAAUUAAUAAUUUUUUCAAAUGUCUGCAGCAGUUAGAAUAAAAAAUGUGGUGACUAUAUCAUUUUAUGUCAACGAGGAAAUUUGUCAUCAGACUUGACCAAGACUUAGAAGAAACAGAAGCAGAUGAUAAAACUCCAAGAAGCUGAGCUUUGAAACUCAGCAGUUGUACAAAAGAUCUGUCUAGACCUCUGGUAUUGUUUGUUUUGGAAAGAACAAAAUGGGAAAACCUGCCAUGGAAGGAAACAUUUACUCCACUUUCUUGACUCCUGUACUUUCUCCUGUCAUACAAAGUGAUGCUGAUCAAAUUGAUGUAGGUUAGGAUGCAUCUGUGUUCAUAUUCUCAAUCAAUCUCUAACAGGAAAAAUUCUGAAGGUACCAGACAACAUAGACAUUUUCAUCCAUACAAAUAUGGCAAAAGCAGUGUCAAUAAAGAAUGUACAGAUGCAAGGCCUUUAUUAUGAUUUUUUUUUCUGCCUUUUACAGCAAUGAAAAACUUCAACUAGAAAAACUGAUUGUUUUUCUUCACAGGAGGAAAAUUUCAAGGGAAUACAUCAGAAGGGAAACUUCAUGGAGUUUCUAUCUUCUCAGUAAGAAUCCUACAUAAUGAUUACGUUGGCUUUGCAGCUUUGCCCAGUCUAAUUAGCACCUGACCAUGUUAAACUCACGAACAAAGAUCUGUUAUUUGUAAAACCCACAUGCUUUUAUUUUCUACACUGAAGCAGUUUUCUACUUCUUUGUUUUUAACUUCCUUUAUGAACAAUGAGAUACAAAUUCUGUGUGGAUAAAGUAUUAAAUCUUUAUAGUAGCA